rfam:Populus trichocarpa scaffold_14_contig_119, whole genome shotgun sequence.
UUUUUUAAGACUUAACAUCAAUAUCUUUGACGAGUCUCCUAUUUUUAGGGACUUAUGUCAUUUUCUAACGUGUCUAAAGACU